rnacentral:rRNA from 1 species
AGCGAACAGAUGAAGUGCUUGCACUUCUGACGUUAGCGGCGAACGGGUGAGUAACACGUAAGGAAUCUACCUAUAAGCGGGGGAUAACAUUCGGAAACGGGUGCUAAUACCGCAUAAUAUCUUCUUCCGCAUGGAAGAAGAUUGAAAGACGGCUCUGCUGUCACUUAUAGAUGACCUUGCGGUGCAUUAGUUAGUUGGUGGGGUAACGGCCUACCAAGACGAUGAUGCAUAGCCGACCUGAGAGGGUGAUCGGCCACAUUGGGACUGAGACACGGCCCAAACUCCUACGGGAGGCAGCAGUAGGGAAUCUUCCGCAAUGGGCGAAAGCCUGACGGAGCAAUGCCGCGUGAGUGAAGAAGGCCUUCGGGUCGUAAAACUCUGUUAUAAGAGAAGAACAAAUUGUAGAGUAACUGCUACAGUCUUGACGGUAUCUUAUCAGAAAGCCACGGCUAACUACGUGCCAGCAGCCGCGGUAAUACGUAGGUGGCAAGCGUUGUCCGGAUUUAUUGGGCGUAAAGGGAGCGCAGGUGGUUUCUUAAGUCUGAUGUGAAAGCCCACGGCUUAACCGUGGAGGGUCAUUGGAAACUGGGAAACUUGAGUACAGAAGAGGAAUGUGGAACUCCAUGUGUAGCGGUGGAAUGCGUAGAUAUAUGGAAGAACACCAGUGGCGAAGGCGACAUUCUGGUCUGUUACUGACACUGAGGCUCGAAAGCGUGGGGAGCAAACAGGAUUAGAUACCCUGGUAGUCCACGCCGUAAACGAUGAGUGCUAGGUGUUGGAGGGUUUCCGCCCUUCAGUGCCGCAGUUAACGCAUUAAGCACUCCGCCUGGGGAGUACGACCGCAAGGUUGAAACUCAAAGGAAUUGACGG